UUGAGGAUAGUUCAGUCAGUAGAGCAAGAGACUCAAUCUCAGGGUUCUGGGUUCAAGCCCCAUGUUGAGCAAA